ensembl:lncRNA
GACUCAAUCCCAAAACCUGGGAUCAUGACCUGAGCCAAAGGCAGAUGUUUAACCGACUGAUUCACCCAGGUGUCCCAAGAGUACCAUAAUCUUAAUAACUAUAGCUCUCUGGGGUCACUUUUAAGAUCCCAGAAUGGAUGGGUAAUACGGCUAAGAGGAAUCAGCAUUCAAAUCAAAGAUUCUGUGGUGAUAAGUAGUUGAACUCAGCUGGCAAUUAAAUAUGGGCACAGAUGUGGUCUGUUUCCAUUUUUUCCCCAGGACCUGGCAACUUACAUGACUGAAACUAGAAGCACAGAUGCCACUGGAACUAACUGGAAUCUUCCCAGGCUCUGGGCCCUGAGUGACAAAACCCAAAUGAGAGACUGUCUACCUAAGGAGGUAAAUGAACUGAAAAUGGUCACAAAGUUUCUCCACCUAGAAGCUGGAAGCUUGUUACGGCUGUUCAUAAAAAAAGAAUUCCACCAGUACUCCUCCAGGAAGGUAAGGUCUAUUUCUCCAGAAGGCUGCAGGAGAAGGAAAGGAGUUAGGAUGCUAAGAGUGCCCGCAGUAAAAUAAAAGUGCCUUGUGGGUGAAGAUACAUGUUGAGAAGACCUUUUCACAUAAGGCACUCGUGCCUCUGGCUAAGUCAAGCCCAUCCUGGAUGUAUUCAUCAGUUUUAGUUUGUAGUUUUUUGCAUGCAAACAUCCCUUACAACUUGCAGCAUCUAUGUAUCUGCCUCAUCCUCCCUACACUAUUAAAACCUAACCCAGAUUUGAAACAAGACUAGGAUACCCAUGGGGCACUUGGGUGGCUCAGUUGUUUAAGUGUCCAACUCUUGAUUUCAGCUCAGGUCAUGAUCUCAGGGUUGUGAGAUCCAGCCCCAUGUCGGGUUUUGCACUGGUCAUGGAGUCUGCUUGAGAAUUUCUCUCUCCCUCUUUCUCUGUCCACUGCUUGCCCCCACUCUUUCUCUCUCUCUCUCAAAAAAAUUUUUUUUAGAAAAGAAACAAGACUAAGAUACCCAACAGAGCAAGUUUAUUCAGUGAAGUCUUGAUAGCCUGAAGGUAGUGAUUUCAGAUUGGACAACAAAACUGAGGAGAACUAUGUGGUCACUGUAAAAGGAGGUGGGGAUAAAAAAGAUCUCUGGUAGUAGGCAAGAACUGAAUGACCUUCAAGGUGUGUAGGAGUGAAAUGAGAUGAUUCACAUCUCUGUACAGACUUAAAUAUGGCCACAUUAUCAUGGAUGGAUUGAAGGUAAGAUAUAAAAAAAAAAAAAACUUGACAUCGGUGAAGGGUGGGAGAGAACAGAAUGUAUUACUGAAUGGGGUGGCUGUGGGGAAGUUUGGAGGAGACACCCUCCCCGCCAUGUGACCCACCAAAAUUGACAUGCAGAGAUGAGGAGGGUGACAGGUCAGUGUGGAAGACUCUUAAGGGGUACUAAGAAAAUUCCCCCUUUCUCCCACUGCAGCAUCUUGGCCUUUCCAGCAUCUCCCCUCCCCUGAAGUUUUGUCAACAUGGUCUUUUGUGAUGUCUAAGCAUCCCAGGGCUACCAUUGGCUGGGGAGCUUUGUAGACCAAACAAAACUGAAGGGUGUGUACCUUCAUUAUCCUGGUGAGCAUAUAUAGGCAGGUCAAGAGGCCUGGGGUAGACCACUGGGAAUUUUUGCGUGGAAAAGUGACCUAUAAACCACAAGCUUCUAGUGGAGUUAUAGAACAACCAACUUCAAGCACCACAGGCAGGAAAAAGAAGACCACUUGUCAACCCUGGUCCAGAGGCAGUGGCAAGGUGAGAUGACUCUACCCAUGCUCUUCCUCAUCCCCUUUGAUUCCUUGCCCUGUAGACUCCUUCCCUGUCCUUGCCUGGCGCACAUAUCCUCCUCAGCCUCUCCCUUCUCCUGAAGCCCCUGCUCCCUUCCACCCUCCAUCUUCUUCCCCCCAAAUCAAUGCCCCUCUGUGCUCACCCUAUUGUCUUCGCAGGUGGCCAAGACAACUAUGAAAGCUAAAAGACAGUUUCAAGGGAGUUUGAGAGAAGAAACCUCUUCCAGAGUUCCCAUUCCAUUAAUUAAGUCUAAGAAAACUAAAGUACCAAUACUAUUCGGCCAUUAUCACAGGCUGAAUGAAAAGCUGAAUCAAAAUGAGCCAGAGCAGGACCAAGAGAGUGUAGAGAAACCCACCACUUCAAAUGAUGACCAGGGCAGUCAGAAUGUAAGAGUCGGGCCAGAGACCUCAGAUACCUGUGAAUUCUCCAAAGUCUAGUCACUAAGAAAUGGCCAACUACUUAGAGCCAAACCAUGCACAAACAGGGUACAUGCAUGGUGAUAAAUAAAACAAAAAACUGUGUGAAAAUUUGCGUGUGU